AAAGCCGCGAGGCAGAGCAAAACCCUAAAAGUCGUCUCAGUUCGGAUUGCAGGCUGCAACUCGCCUGCAUGAAGUCGGAAUUGCUAGUAAUCGCAGAUCAGCAUGCUGCGGUGAAUACGUUCCCGGGCCUUGUACACACCGCCCGUCACACCAUGGGAGUCGGUAACACCCGAAGUCGGUAGUCUAACCGAAAGGAGGACGCCGCCGAAGGUGGGAUUGAUGACUGGGGUGAAGUCGUAACAAGGUAGC
rnacentral:rRNA from 1 species